UACGAAGGGUGCAAGCGUUACUCGGAAUCAUUGGGCGUAAAGGGCAGGUAGGUGGUUACGUAUGUCUGGAGUGAAAUCCCCGAGCUUAACUUGGGAAGUGCUUUGGAAACGGCGUAACUAGAGUAUCGGAGAGGGUCGUAGAAUUCCUGGUGUAGCGGUGAAAUGCGUAGAUAUCAGGAGGAAUACCAGAGGCGAAGGCGGCGACCUGGACGAUUACUGACACUCAACUGCGAAAGCGUGGGGAGCAAACAGG
rnacentral:rRNA from 1 species